rnacentral:rRNA from 1 species
UACGGAGGGGGCGAGCGUUGUUCGGAGUUACUGGGCGUAAAGCGCACGUAGGCGGUGCGGUAAGUCAGGGGUUAAAGGCUGCAGCUCAACUGCAGUAAGGCCUUUGAUACUAUCGUGCUAGAGUGUCAGAGAGGAUGGCGGAAUUCCCGGUGUGGCGGUGAAAUGCGUAGAUAUCGGGAGGAACACCAGUAGCGAAGGCGGCCAUCUGGCUGAUAACUGACGCUGAGGUGCGAGAGCGUGGGGAGCAAACAGG